rnacentral:rRNA from 1 species
AAAAAUUUAAUUAAAAAUAUUAAAGUAGUAUUAGUUAAGUUCUUGAAAUUUAAAAAAUUUGGCGGUAUUUUAGUCUAUUCAGAGGAACCUGUUUUGUAAUCGAUAGUCCACGUUGUACCUUACUUAAAUUUGUUUAUUCAGUUUAUAUAUCGUUGUUUAUAAAUUAUUUUUUAAAAAUUUAUAAUUUUUAAAAUUUUAUAUAUGAAAAUAUAUCAGAUCAAGAUGUAGUUUAUGUUUAAGUUAAUAAUGGGUUACAUUAAAUUUAUUUUUGGAUAUUUUUGUUAAAUAAUUUAUUAAAAUUGGAUUUGAUAGUAAAUUUAUAAAGAUUAAUAAAUUGAUUUUAGCUCUAAAAUAUG